rnacentral:rRNA from 1 species
UUAAAUAGCCGCAGUAUUUUGACUGUGCGAAGGUAGCAUAAUCAUUUGUCCUUUAAUUGAGGGCUUGUAUGAAUGGUUUAAUGAGGGAACAACUUUCUUUAUAUUAAAGGUUGAAUUUAAUCUUUUGGUUAAAAAGCUAAAAUUUUUAAAUGGGACGAGAAGACCCUAUAGAAUUUUAUUUUUAUUUUUAUAAUUAAAAUUAUUUGUUAAUAUUAUUUUUUUUGUAGUAUAAAAAUUUUAUUGGGGUGAUAUUGAAAUUUUUUUAACUUUCAUAAUAAAUAUUUUAUAAAUUUAUAUAUAUUAGGAUCCUAUUUUAUGGAUAUUUAGAUUAAAUUACCUUAGGGAUAACAGCGUAAUUUUUCUGGAGAGUUCUUAUCGAUGGAAAAGUUUGCGACCUCGAUGUUGGAUUAAAAUUAGAUUUAAGUGCAGAAGCUUAUAAUUCUAGGUCUGUUCGACCUUUAAAAUUUUACAUGAUCUGAGUUCAAACCG